UACAUGGGGUGCAAACGUUGCUCGGAAUUAUUGGGCGUAAAGCGCACGUAGGCGGUUUGUUAAGUCGGAUGUGAAAUCCCUCGGCUCAACUGAGGAAGUGCAUCCGAAACUGGCAAGCUUGAGUACGAAAGAGGAUCGCGGAAUUCCCGGUGUAGAGGUGAAAUUCGUAGAUAUCGGGAGGAACACCGGUGGCGAAGGCGGCGAUCUGGGUCGAUACUGACGCUGAGGUGCGAAAGCGUGGGGAGCAAACAGG
rnacentral:rRNA from 1 species